GAGUUUGAUCCUGGCUCAGGAUGAACGCUGGCGGCGUGCUUAACACAUGCAAGUCGAACGAAACACCUUAUCUGAUUUUCUUCGGAACUGAAGAUUUGGUGAUUGAGUGGCGGACGGGUGAGUAACGCGUGGGUAACCUGCCCUGUACAGGGGGAUAACAGUCAGAAAUGACUGCUAAUACCGCAUAAGACCACAGCACCGCAUGGUGCAGGGGUAAAAACUCCGGUGGUACAGGAUGGACCCGCGUCUGAUUAGCUGGUUGGUGAGGUAACGGCUCACCAAGGCGACGAUCAGUAGCCGGCUUGAGAGAGUGAACGGCCACAUUGGGACUGAGACACGGCCCAGGCUCCUACGGGAGGCAGCAGUGGGGAAUAUUGCACAAUGGGGGAAACCCUGAUGCAGCGACGCCGCGUGGAGGAAGAAGGUCUUCGGAUUGUAAACUCCUGUUGUUGAGGAAGAUAAUGACGGUACUCAACAAGGAAGUGACGGCUAACUACGUGCCAGCCGCCGCGGUAAUUC
rnacentral:rRNA from 1 species